GAAAAAUAGAAUUGUUUUUGCAGAGUUAUUUUGAACUCCUUUCCAAAGAGAAUGGCCACAAUGUGUUCAUUGUGGUUUUAAUGGAUUGUAAUGAAAAAUUUAGCUUUGCUUCCCAUUAGCACAUCCAAGCUUUACUGCUUCUGCAUGAGCCCUACUGAAUAAAGUUGUAUCAUGUCAUGUUUUUCCAUGCCUAUGCUGUUAUUACAUGGUUGCUAUCUUUAUCUGCCUUUAACUCUCUGACCUCAAUCCUUAACUUCUCUUCCUUAAUUCUACCUUAACUAUAUGAGCUAUGGAGUUCUGGGGACACUCCUCUACCAGAGAAGUCUCUACGUGGAUAAUACCUCCAACAUUCUGAUGUCUUUGUCAACUAUCAUAUUCUUAAUAAGGCUUAGGGAUCAAUUUAUUACAAUUGUGAGCCCUUCUUCCAUCACAAGUGCUUUUAGUGUCCUAUCUAGGUGAAGAUACAAGAUACGAGAUACAAGCUUGUGGUUAUGGAAUCAAUAAGUAAGUCACAGGAAUUCAAAGUACAUCACAAGGAGUAUCUUCAAUGGUAUUUUAAUAACAUUGUAUGGUAAUAUAUGGUAGCGACCCUUGUGAGCAUAGCUUGUUG
rnacentral:lncRNA from 1 species